GACCGGAGGACUCGUCUACUGUAUAUAAAGCAUCGCUCUAGCACGUGUACUUCCAUAUUGCAGCUGUGCCUUUGUCUCAACUCCAGCAAGAUGCAGAAAUACGCUGCCGUUCUCGCCUUGGUCCUUGUGCUGGUCCUCACCCUAUCCGUCGUUGAUGCUCAAUUCGGCUUCGGACGUGGAUUUGGCCGAGGAUUUGGUGGUGGAUUCGGACGUGGAUUUGGUGGUGGCUUCGGGCGAGGAUUCGGUGGUGGUUUCGGACGAGGAUUCGGCCGUGGAUUUGGACGUGGAUUCGGCGGUUUUGGCCGAGGAUUUUACGGCUAAAGUAUGAACAACAAGCUCGUACAUUUCAUGAUACGAAACCAACGGCAGGAAGCUUUGUGAAGAAUGUUAUCCUAUCGACACAUUAAACACGAUUAACAAGAAAAGAGGAAGUAUUUGAGUGUUUGAGAACUGGAGAAGUGUUCGAGUGUAAAUAACUUGAAUAAACGCACUUUUAGCGAA